UACGUAGGAGGCAAGCGUUGUCCGGAAUUACUGGGCGUAAAGCGCGUGUAGGUGGUGGGACAAGUCUGCUGUGAAAACUCGAGGCUCAACCUCGAGACGUCGGCGGAAACCAUCUGGCUAGAGUCCGGAAGAGGAGAGUGGAAUUCCUGGUGUAGCGGUGAAAUGCGCAGAUAUCAGGAAGAACACCCGUGGCGAAGGCGGCUCUCUGGGACGGUACUGACGCUGAGACGCGAAAGCGUGGGGAGCGAACAGG
rnacentral:rRNA from 1 species